AUUGAACGCUGGCGGCAGGCUUAACACAUGCAAGUCGAGCGGAGAUGAGGUGCUUGCACCUUUCUUAGCGGCGGACGGGUGAGUAAUGCGUAGGAAGCUACCCGAUAGAGGGGGAUACCAGUUGGAAACGACUGUUAAUACCGCAUAAUGUCUACGGACCAAAGUGUGGGACCUUCGGGCCACAUGCUAUCGGAUGCGCCUACGUGGGAUUAGCUAGUUGGUGGGGUAAUGGCUCACCAAGGCGACGAUCCCUAGCUGGUUUGAGAGGAUGAUCAGCCACACUGGAACUGAGACACGGUCCAGACUCCUACGGGAGGCAGCAGUGGGGAAUAUUGGACAAUGGGCGCAAGCCUGAUCCAGCCAUGCCGCGUGUGUGAAGAAGGCCUUCGGGUUGUAAAGCACUUUCAGUAGGGAGGAAGGGUGUUGUGUUAAUAGCACAGCAUUUUGACGUUACCUACAGAAGAAGCACCGGCUAACUCUGUGCCAGCCGCCGCCGUAAUAC
rnacentral:rRNA from 1 species